rnacentral:miRNA from 1 species
UAUUUAUACAGAUUAAGUGGUUUC